rnacentral:rRNA from 1 species
GAUCUUGCGACAAUGGGCGAAAGCCUGACGCAGCAACGCCGCGUGCGGGAGGACGGCNNNCGGGUNGUAAAGUACUUUUGGCANGGANGAAAAGGUAUCCCCUAAUACGGGAUACUGCUGACGGUAUCUGCAGAAUAAGCACCGGCUAACUACGUGCCAGCAGCCGCGGUAAUACGUAGGGUGCAAGCGUUAAUCGGAAUUACUGGGCGUAAAGCGUGCGCAGGCGGUUCGGAAAGAAGGAUGUGAAAUCCCAGGGCUCAACCUUGGAACUGCAUUCUUAACUACCGAACUAGAGUAUGUCAGAGGGGGGUAGAAUUCCGCGUGUAGCAGUGAAAUGCGUAGAUAUGCGGAGGAAUACCGAUGGCGAAGGCAGCCCCCUGGGAUAAUACUGACGCUCAUGCACGAAAGCGUGGGUAGCAAACAGG